rnacentral:rRNA from 1 species
CCCUUAGAUGUUCUGGGCUGCACGCGCGCUACACUGAUGCGCUCAACGAGUUUUAACCUUGCCUGGAAAGGUUGGGUAAUCUUUUUAAAACGCAUCGUGAUGGGGAUAGAUUAUUGCAAUUAUUAAUCUUCAACGAGGAAUUCCUAGUAAGCGCGAGUCAUCAGCUCGUGCUGAUUACGUCCCUGCCCUUUGUACACACCGCCCGUCGCUCCUACCGAUUGAAUGAUCCGAUGAAUAUCAUGGAUUGAGGAUGCAAGUAGGUUCGCCUAUCUUCAUCUUCGAGAAGUGAAGUAAAUCUUAUCAUUUAGAGGAAGGAGAAGUCGUAACA